AUUGAACGCUGGCGGCAUGCCUAACACAUGCAAGUCGAACGGUAACAGGUCCCGUAGCAAUACGGGAUGCUGACGAGUGGCGGACGGGUGAGUAAUGCGUAGGAAUUUACCUCAAAGCGGGGGAUAGCCCGGAGAAAUCCGGAUUAAUACCGCAUGUGCUCUACGGAGGAAAGCGGGCCUCUACUUGUAAGCUCGCACUUUGAGAUAAGCCUACGUCGGAUUAGCUAGUUGGUAGGGUAAAGGCCUACCAAGGCGACGAUCCGUAGCUGGUUUGCGAGGAUGAUAAGCCACACAGGUACGGAGACACGGCCCAGACUCCUACGGGAGGCAGCAGUGGGGAAUAUUGGACAAUGGGCGAAAGCCUGAUCCAGCAAUGCCGCGUGUGUGAAGAAGGCCUGCGGGUUGUAAAGCACUUUUAUCAGGAAAGAAAAUCUCGGGGCUAAUAUCCCCGGGCCUUGACGGUACCUGAUGAAUAAGCACCGGCUAACUCCGUGCCAGCCGCCGCAGUAAGAC
rnacentral:rRNA from 1 species